GGCCGGUGAUGUGAAACAAUUUGUCCGUACCAUCUGAUUCAUCUGAUGAUUCACAUUUGCUAAUGUAUCUCUGAGGCCC
rfam:Brachypodium distachyon strain Bd21 chromosome 3, whole genome shotgun sequence.